UCGACUUUAAAAAUCGUGAGGGUUCAAGUCCCUCUAUCCCCAACUCUAU
rnacentral:tRNA from 2 species